rnacentral:rRNA from 1 species
CAAGUAGGUGGUCUUAUUUGUCUAGGGUGAAAUCCUUGAGCUUAACUCAAGAAGUGCCCUAGAAACGGUGAGACUAGAGUUCUGGAGAGGGUCGUGGAAUUCCCGGUGUAGCGGUGAAAUGCGUAGAGAUCGGGAGGAACACCAGAGGCGAAGGCGGCGACCUGGACAGACACUGACACUCAACUGCGAAAGCGUGGGGAGCAAACA